rnacentral:rRNA from 1 species
ACAUGCCUACAACAUAGCGUUAAUGAAACAUAUCCCAUUAGAACUCCUCAUUUAAGUGCGCUCAGGAUAGAGUAGUACGGGGAUGGGUGAACACCCAGGGAAGUCCUAGUGUUUUACAUGCC